UUGGGUCGAAGUAUGAGCCGGGUCUCGUGAAAGCCAACGGGUAAAGCGAUGCAUUCACAUUGCUGGAACACAGCCACGCAUGGUCCUGCCUUGCCAGAGAUAAUAGCUGCUUGUGCAAUGGCCGCCUGCUGGUGGCCAGAUCCUGAAGGGCUAGACUCCCAGAAGCACAGGUCCAGAAUGGCUUUUUCUUUAACAUCCUUCCCUUGGCUAAUCGCCAUCUCUACCACAACUCAUCAGUCCUAGUGUGCGGACCUGCAGAAGAGAGGGCGAAGGGUGACCCUGAAAUGUGGCUGCCUUACCUCAGCCCAGACACAAAUCAGAGCCCUUCCUGGUCUCAAGGCAGCUUCUGUGAACCAAGGGAGCAGCUUAGUUGGGCUUUCUUGGUGUUCUGUCUACUGCCUGCUCCGUGGACGGGUUUAAGUUAGAUGUGAGGCUCAGGAAGGCAAAAGCUUCGGAAGCAGCCUCAGCUGAUCUGACUUCACCUGCAGGCCUCGUCACAAGGCUUCAGGACGAAGUCUCCAGGGAAGCCAGAGCUUGACUCUCCUCCUCCUUCGUCCACGCUGGCAAUCCAACCCAGGGCUGCAUUCUUGCUGGGCAAGCGCUCGAUGGCCGAGCUACAGCCCCCAGACUCACUUUUCUUAACACCAAUUUUCAGGCUGCUGGACAUCUGGGGAGCUCUGUCAGAUGCUUCUUUUUCUCUCUUCCACUGUCCCCUGGUCACUUAUUAAAAUAAGCACCCUUCUUG